AGAAUUGAAGCCAUUGCUCUUGGCAGGGAAAGGAGGAAAAGAGAAGCGAUUUAGAGGACCCUGAGGGGAUAUUGAGAGUUGAAUAAGCUAGCAAGGAGUUAAUACAGAAUCAACAGUGGAACACCUGCUGCUUUUCAGAAGAUAUCCCUCAUGUGACCAAAACAAGAUGAAGUCUGUUCCCUGUUGAAUUCCUACAUGUAAAAUAAGCCAUAUGAGAGCAAAAUAUCUCAACUACAGUACCACAAGGUGUCAUGUCCUGAAGUGACACCUAAAGGAAGUUUGCACAUGCGACAGAACUGGAACUAUAUGCAAUGUCUAGGGUUCUCUCCCCUCUAGUCUUACUGAAUCAUCUAGUAAGAGAUGCUGCUUAGCCACAGCUACUGAAGUAGACUGUUGCAAAAAACUAUCCACAGAAAGGGCAUGUUAAGUAAAUGCAAAGUUAACAGUAGGACUUCUGCUGCUAAGAGCAGAAAUGAGAUACUUUUUAUUUAAAAAAAGAGUAAUGGCUUCUAUUCAAGAGGUUUUGAUAUUGAAAUCUGUAGUUUCUUAUGACAGACAGUAUUGUUGAUUCAAAUGGAUUCAAGCUCUGUUAUUCAAGAGGACAAUGUGUUAUAUACAAACCAUUUAACUCAAGCUUUUAACUUGUUUUCUCUGUUGACAGUAGUAUGAGAGAUUGUCUAGGGGGUAAUCUUUCUAAAGUAAUGCCAGAAAAGUUUUAUCCACUUACAACUUCCAUAAAAAAUCCAAAGCUCUUGAUUCCUACUGCCUGUUUACCUGCUAUAUAAAUGUCUCAGGAAUUUACCUGAGAGGAAGAGCUGAGGCUAAGCUUGAUUUAAAGCAUAUUUCUUCUAGACUACCAGCCAUGGAAAAUAAUAGACUAGAUUUAUCUCUUCUGUCAUUAUCCAUCUUGACCAUCUAAGAGUUAAGCACCUAGUCUUCUUCUACAGUCAGUGAAAAGUAGGAAGCAUUUCAAGAGGAUGAAUCACUCCAUGCCAAAAUAGCAGUUGGAGACAGCUGAUGGACUAUG